GAUUUUCGCAAUGCCCGAAAGGGUGACUAUGCGACGCCGCGUGUGCGAUGAAGGUCUUCGGAUUGUAAAGCACUGUCAGCUGGGAGGAAUCUCGGGGGGUCGAACAGAUCCGCCGGGUGACAGUACCAGCAGAGGAAGCCACGGCUAACUCCGUGCCAGCAGCCGCGGUAAUACGGAGGUGGCAGGCGUUACUCGGAUUGAUUGGGUGUAAAGGGCAGGUAGGUGGCUAUGUAAGUUGGGGGUGAAAUCCUGCGGCUCAACCGCAGAACUGCCUUCAAAACUGCAUGGCUUGAGGCCGAAAGAGGAAAGCGGAAUUCCCGGUGUAAGAGUGAAAUCUGUAGAUAUCGGGAGGAACACCAGUGGCGAAGGCGGCUUUCUGGUUCGGCCCUGACACUAAGCUGCGAAAGCUAGGGGAGCAAACAGGAUUAGAUACCCUGGUAGUCCUAGCCGUAAACGAUGGGCACUAAGUAGAGGGGUUUUAAUC
rnacentral:rRNA from 1 species